rnacentral:snRNA from 1 species
GGCAGCUUCCCUCCAUCUCACAUACACUAAACCUGAAAAGAUACAGAGAAGACUUUCAUGAUCCUUGCAUGAGCAUGAUAUACAAGUUGUGAACUGAACUGAAAUUUU